UACUAAAAGCCGACAACUCGCCGACAACGCCGACAACUCGUCCAGAGUGCCGACAACUCGCCGACAACAAGUUGCAGACACCUUAAAAACAGCAAACUAACCAACGGUUUAUUAAAACAAUGUGCACUAUUUUAUAUUAACAUAAAUACAACGACUCUACUUCACAAAAAGUCGUAGUUUUUUACCCGGAAAAAAAAGCGAACUUCCGCGGAGCGCGGUUGGACGCCAUCUUGGCCUACAACCCGUGUUGCGACCAUUUCAUUAUGAUACGGGGUGAGAUGAAUUAGCACUUCCAUAACAACAGAGGGCGGGCGUCCUGUGAAAACCACAGCAGCAGUUCAGAGAUGGCACAUUGUUGUGUGUGAGUGUGUGUGGAUUUGGCUUUCACAAUUGUGGAAAGAGUUACCAACAGCAUCCAAUGCUUCAUGGUCACGCGGCGUAGUUUGUUCACUAAAGUGGUUUCGGCCAAUCAAAGUGCUUCAAUGAGCUCCUAUAGUUAAUCAUGAUUGACGGGACAGAUGAUGUUGAUGCCACUCUGACAGCUAUCAAAGGCCCGCUGAUUUCUCAUUCAUGUUUAAAUUUCGAAGUGUUUUAUAUUAAUUUGAGCUGGAUGAAGUCUUAAGUGCCAUCCAAGUCAUAGUUAAAAUAAGAUUUAUUAUAGUCAUUACAUGAAAACCUUUGCAUAUCGUAUUUCCACCAAUGCUAAGUUUCAAAUGAUUUUAAAACGGCUUUCUUUAUGCGUGAGGGACGGACAUCAAUGAAUUGGAAAUAGAUGUUCUUUACAUUUUUAUAUUAAUUAUUGUGUUCAAACUUGAAAGUUGUAUCAAAUAUUUCUCAGUAGUUAUAGGAACGGACGUCACAGUAACAAGAUUAUAGCAAAAAAGGUAUAAGCUGGAUAUUUUUACAACUAUUAUAAGACCCGUUAAUAUAAGUUUUGGGGUUAUGUGACUGCCGUCCCUCACUUUUUAAAAUUAAACAGGAACCACAAGGUAUUAAUUAGUGCAUGACUUGCGGUAUUCAUUUCUGGAAAGCUGAUGAAGUCUGCCAAUAGCGAGUUCUUUUUAAGAAAUGUGAGUUGAGUAAAUAUAGGAGGACAUAGGUUGUAUUUGGUCCGUGAGGGAACGGAAAAAUACACACCAAUGUGGGUUGACAAUAUAUACUUCGAAUGGUAAUCCCCCAAAAUAAUUUUAAA